rnacentral:rRNA from 1 species
GACGAACGCUGGCGGCGUGCUUAACACAUGCAAGUCGUACGGUAAGGCCCUUUCGGGGGUCCACGAGUGGCGAACGGGUGCGUAACACGUGAGUAACCUGCCCACAACUUUGGGAUAACGCUAGGAAACUGGUGCUAAUACUGGAUAUGUGCUCCUGCUGCAUGGUGGGGGUUGGAAAGCUCCGGCGGUUGUGGAUGGACUCGCGGCCUAUCAGCUUGUUGGUGGGGUAGUGGCCUACCAAGGCGGCGACGGGUAGCCGGCCUGAGAGGGUGACCAGCCACAUUGGGACUGAGAUACGGCCCAGACUCCUACGGGAGGCAGCAGUGGGGAAUAUUGCACAAUGGGCGCAAGCCUGAUGCAGCAACGCCGCGGGCGGGAUGACGGCCUUCGGGUUGUAAACCGCUUUCAGCAGGGACGAAGCUUUUUGUGACGGUACCUGCAGAAGAAGCACCGGCUAACUACGUG